CCUACGGGAGGCUGCAGUGGGGAAUAUUGGACAAUGGGGGGAACCCUGAUCCAGCGACGCCGCGUGAGUGAAGAAGUAUUUCGGUAUGUAAAGCUCUAUCAGCAGGGAAGAAAGAAAUGACGGUACCUGACUAAGAAGCCCCGGCUAACUACGUGCCAGCAGCCGCGGUAAUACGUAGGGGGCAAGCGUUAUCCGGAUUUACGGGGUGUAAAGGGGGCGUAGACGGCGAUGCAAGUCUGAAGUGAAAGGCGGGGGCCCAACCCCCGGACUGCUUUGGAAACUGUAUGGCUGGAGUGCAGGAGAGGUAAGUGGAAUUCCUAGUGUAGCGGUGAAAUGCGUAGAUAUUAGGAGGAACACCAGUGGCGAAGGCGGCUUACUGGACUGUAACUGACGUUGAGGCUCGAAAGCGUGGGGAGCAAACAGGAUUAGAUACCCCUGUAGUC
rnacentral:rRNA from 1 species